AAUAAAGUAACUUUGUUUUGACAGUUUGCCAGAGUUUAUUUUCUGUUUUUUUUCCUCUCCUCCCAGUCAAGUAAUCCAAUCUGAAUUAUGUAACGACAGAGAGAGACAGAAAGGAAUCUACACACCAAAGCAUUCACUUCUGUGGUUACUUGAGAACGUGAUGGAAACACUGUGUAAUGAUUUAUUUCUGCCUUGCGUCAUUUGCGCAUUUAUUUUCCUUUAGCGCUUUCCGCCCAUUUUUUUUCACUUUCAGUAGAACUCAGAGGUUUCUCUGCCACGUGAUUGGCUGCUGUGGUCCCCCUUGGCCGCUCCGGGUGUGGAGCGCUUCUGAAUAAAAACUACAGUCCUGCCUGUCAGCUGUAAAAAACGCCCUGAACACAGACUCACAGCAGCUUGGUGGGGUUUCAUUGCAGCGUUGCAGCAUGUCCUCAGACGUUACCAUGGACUUGGAGCUGGAGCUGGGUGAGUUGCUGCAGGAGUUCCAGGAUGUGGUGGAGGAACUGAAGGCCCCGUCUCAAAGCAAACCUCAUGCUUACCAGCACGUCCUCCACGAGGCGAAAAGUCGCACGGGGCCGGGGGAUGACAGCGGUGUGGAAGACUCUGACUACAGCAGCGGAGCUUCUAUGGGAAAUAGUCUGAAUACCAGCGAGGAGGAGCUUCACACAGCAGGCAUAAUGCUGGCACCGAAAGCCAAGCUAGGAGACACAAGGGAACUUGAGAGUUUUAUCGACAUGCUGGACCGGGAACUUGCUGACAUGUGAACAGAAAGAUUGUGAGCCUAGUUGUGUGGUGGGUUGAUGGAGAGGGGAGGGGAGGGGUAGGGAAGGGGGUCGGGGACAGGCCGGGGGCGACGUGGCUGGCUACUGCUGAGCAGAAAUGGAGAUCUACACCAGAGCAGAUCUGAUGGAGCAAAUGCUCUCUCUGCCGCUUCAGGGAAAAAGGUUAACAUCAGAAAUUAAAAGGGCAGUCCAUUCUGAAAUGCAAGAACACCCUCACACCCCUGGCAAUGCUGCAUCCAGCCGGCAAGACCAUCCGAUCCAAGAUGUGUGACAUAUUCCCGAAACCAGACAAAGCUUCCAUCUGUCCAGGCAUGUGAGAAAGUACUGCCGAGGGUAUAAAAAGCACGUUUAUGCCACAUUUAAAAUUCCCAUGAGUGCUAUGCCAGUAAAGGACUCUAAGUCCUCUUUACCGUAUAUUUUUUUUAAACGAGGCUGAGCUUAAAUCACAGAUGGCACUUUAUUUCCAAACUAAUUUCAAGUCUAGGGGUUCAGAUCUGCUGUGUAAUUCCAUUAGUCUUUUAAAGAAUGUGCUGAUGUUUCCAAUGUACAGUUCUUGUUUAUAUUUUAUUCUCAUUCCUGUACAGAUUAAUACAUUUAUAAAUAAAGCUAAAUUUUGAU
rnacentral:lncRNA from 1 species